rnacentral:lncRNA from 1 species
CAGUGCUUAUGGCCUAGGUAAUGAAAAGCUGUUGUUCGAAAUGAGAGGUAUCCAGAUUCUUACAAGUAUUUUGUUAAGAGUUCCAUCGUCUUGGGAAAAAGGCCCCUGGGUGCUUUUAUAAGUGUUUUAUAUUUGCAGCAGUUUGGGGAAUAUUAGAUUUAUUUUUCAUUUCAAAUAUCCAAUGACAUUUUAUUGUUUGAGGCUUUGCUCUACAUCACAGCGGAACAAAAAGAAACUGCACUUUAAAGAGAUCUAUUCUUUAUUGUAAUAUUUGUAAUAAAACAUAAUUGCAUUUAACAUGGAAAUGUGACUUAACUGCCUUUUGUAAUAUAACUGAUAAUGUAAUUGUAAUGACUUAGUUGAACUCUUGUUUAUGCUACUUCCUUAUGAGUGCCAUGGAAAAAUAAUAGAGAACAUUUGCAAUAAACAUAUUUAUUUUGAAGGAAAACCAAAGGGAUGGUAAUUAGACUUA